AUGGAUUAUUCUUGGCUAUUAAGGAACACAGGAGACAUAAUGCUCACUCUAAGGACCCUGAAUUUAGCAGCAACCCACCUUCAAACAGCAGCCACUGACGAUGCAAGGAUGCAGAGCAGCAGGAGGAAAGAGGAUGGAUCUCUGAGUGACUCUGUGGAGCAGAGCUGCCCUGCCGUCCUGAACAACAUACCUCUUAAUUUUUAGCAUUGUGGUGGACUCCUGAAGGGCAUUGGAGUGGAAAAAGUCACUGGAGAUGAGACCGACCUCAUUAGAACCAAAAGUUUGUUUGGGCUGAACACUGGUCUUACCAGACACUCAGGAUAAUAACAGUGUUUGGAGAAGAGAAGAAAUGUAAGCCCAGGCAACAAGGCAAUCAGUGAAUGAGAAGGAAUGAUUAAGAGAUUGGGAGACAACACACUGAUGAACAGAAUAGUGUGACCAAAUGGUAUAUGAAUCAAAGAAAAACAUUUCAGCUACCUCCACUCAAUACUAAUGAUGGUUAAUAUAUUCCAUUCACCUGGCUGAAGUGACUCACAAUGGAUGCUUUAUAGUCCGUUAUCACGUUUUCAUGGUCUAAACUAAAAUAUUAAUUGUUCAUCUGGAAAAUUAUUUUAUUCUGUGCCAUAUAACAUGAGUCUUGCUUUUGUUUUUCUUUUAUGCCAACACUGGGUGAAUUUAUAAGGGGAAAUUUAUUUGACGCUAAUGAUCAAUCAGUAAAAAGAAAACCCAUUCAAUCUAGUGUAAGUUUUUGAUAUUUGUCUAACAAUGCAUUUGCAGGUUCUGAUUAUUCAUUAUUUUUUCUAGAUAGGAAUUUUUUAGGCCAGGUGUGGUGGCUCACUCCUGUAAUCCUAGCACUGUGGGAGGCCGAGGUGGUGGAUCACCUGAGAUCAGUAGUUCGAGACCAGCCUGGCCAACAUGGCGAAACCCUGUCUCUACGAAAAAUACAAAAAUUAUUCGGGUGUGGUGGUGGGUGCCUAUAAUCCCAGCCACAUAGGAGGCUGAGGUAGGAGAAUUGCUUGAACCUGGCGGGUGGAGGUUUCAGUGAGCCGAGAAUGCACCACUUCACUCCAGCCUAAAGAAAAAAAGUAUGUUCUAUUCUCAUUGCAAUGAUAUGCAUGAUUUGGAGCAAAGUAUGUCAAAUAUCUUGGGUUGACCGAGGCCUUUUAUUUUUGAUAAUGGUAUAUUGUUUACUUGUUGGUGUAGUUUGAAGUUAACUACAUUAAAAUUUGAUAAUAAAAAUAUUUUCAUCUUAAGUGAUCAAUUUUCAUUUUGAUGAUGUUAUGUAAAGUGCUAAGUAUUUUAUCAUUGAAGCAAAUUUUAUCAUUGAAAUUUGUCUCAACUUUUUUUUUUUUAAUUGAGAUGGAGUUUCGCUCUUGUUACCCCGGCUGGAGUGCAAUGGCGCGAUCUCGGCUCACUGCAACCUCCGCCUCCUGGGUUCAGGCAAUUCUCCUGCCUCAGCCUCCUGAGUAGCUGGGAUUACAGGCACGCGCCACCGUGCCCAGCUAAUUUUUUGUAUUUUUAGUAGAGACGGGGUUUCACAGUGUUGACCAGGAUGGUCU
rnacentral:lncRNA from 13 species